rnacentral:rRNA from 1 species
GAUGAACGCUGGCGGCGUGCCUAAUACAUGCAAGUCGAGCGAAUGGAUUAAGAGCUUGCUCUUAUGAAGUUAGCGGCGGACGGGUGAGUAACACGUGGGUAACCUGCCCAUAAGACUGGGAUAACUCCGGGAAACCGGGGCUAAUACCGGAUAACAUUUUGAACCGCAUGGUUCGAAAUUGAAAGGCGGCUUCGGCUGUCACUUAUGGAUGGACCCGCGUCGCAUUAGCUAGUUGGUGAGGUAACGGCUCACCAAGGCAACGAUGCGUAGCCGACCUGAGAGGGUGAUCGGCCACACUGGGACUGAGACACGGCCCAUACUCCUACGGGAGGCAGCAGUAGGGAAUCUUCCGCCAUGGACGAAAGUCUGACGGAGCAACGCCGCGUGAGUGAUGAAGGCUUUCGGGUCGUAAAACUCUGUUGUUAGGGAAGAACAAGUGCUAGUUGAAUAAGCUGACACCUUGACGGUACCUAACCAGAAAGCCACGGCUAACUACGUGCCAGCAGCCGCAGUAA